rnacentral:tRNA from 1 species
CCGUCGAUAGCUCAGUAGGUAGAGCGGUGGACUGUAGAUCCAUAGGUCGCUGGUUCGAAUCCGGCUCGACGGA